GGUAACCCCCUUGGAUCCCCUUCCACACUGUGGGAGGUUUGUUCUUUUGCUCUUUGCAAUAAAGCUUGCUGCUGCUCACUCUUUGGGUCCAGACUGUCUUUAUGAGCUAUAACACUCACCGGGAAGGUCUGCAGCUUCACUCCUGAAGCCAAGGAGACCACGAACCCACCGGGAGGAAGGAACAACUACAGACACGCCGGCUUAAGAGCUGUAGCACUCACUGCGAAGGUCCGCAGCUUCACUCUUGAGCCAGAGACCACGAACCCACCAGAAGGAAGAAACUCCAAACACAUCCGAACAUCAGAAGGAAAAAACUCCAGACACGCCGCCUUUAAGAACUGCAACACUGCGAGGGUCCGCGGCUUCAUUCUUGAAGUCAGUGAGACCAAGAACCCACCAAUUCCAGACACACUACCAAAGGCAGAGGGGAGCUCCUAGACAAAGAUAUUUUGCUUACAAAUGGAACAUAUCAAAUCAAGCUUUUGUGAACUUGAGGGAAGAAACAAAGAAUAUGAAGCCUAAAUGGAAGUGUCAGGAAAUGGUCGCCUUGCGGACAAGGAAACAGCAGCCUGGAAGGCCAGGAGAGGGCAGACUACCCACCUAACCCUCUGCAGAAUUUUGUGUGGACCCUGGAGACCAGAAACUAACUUCUCCUGCAGAGACAAGGUCUUGCUCUGUCACCCUGGCUGGUCUUGAACUCCUGGCUUCAAGCAAUUCAUCCAUCUCAGCCUCCUGAGUAGCUGGGAUUACAGAAAAAACAGUGAAGCAUAGACAGUUUUUGCAAGAGGCCCAAGAUCAUACAUCAAAUAUGUGCACAGCCAGGACCUGAACCAGUUGAUAUCUACAAAUGCCUGGCUUUUGCCACUGGGCUCCUUCAGACACCAAGGAAAGACCAUAUGAGCACACAGCAAGAAGGUGGCUGUCUGAAAAUCAGGAAGAGGAACUUCACCAGAACAUGACUCCAUCAGCACCUUUAUCUUGCACUUCCACCCUUCAUAACUGUGAGAAAUAAAUUUCUGUUGUUUAAGCCA
ensembl:lncRNA LINC02506 long intergenic non-protein coding RNA 2506